rnacentral:snRNA from 1 species
GUGAUGAUCUUCUGCAUAUUUC